rfam:Hordeum vulgare subsp. vulgare, WGS project CAJW01000000 data, contig: morex_contig_176274
AAAAUACCCCCUCCAUCUCAAAAUUAUUGUCUUGGAUUUGUCUACAUAUGAAUGUAUUUAGUCACGUUUUAGUAUCUAGAUACAUUCAUAUCUAAAAAAUCUAAGAUAAGAAUUUCGGGACGGAGGGAGUAUUUC